GACGAACGCUGGCGGCGUGCUUAACACAUGCAAGUCGAACGGAAAGGCCCUGCUUUUGUGGGGUGCUCGAGUGGCGAACGGGUGAGUAACACGUGAGUAACCUGCCCUUGACUUUGGGAUAACUUCAGGAAACUGGGGCUAAUACCGGAUAGGAGCUCCUGCUGCAUGGUGGGGGUUGGAAAGUUUCGGCGGUUGGGGAUGGACUCGCGGCUUAUCAGCUUGUUGGUGGGGUAGUGGCUUACCAAGGCUUUGACGGGUAGCCGGCCUGAGAGGGUGACCGGCCACAUUGGGACUGAGAUACGACCCAGACUCCUACGGGAGGCAGCAGUGGGGAAUAUUGCACAAUGGGCGGAAGCCUGAUGCAGCAACGCCGUGUGCGGGAUGACGGCCUUCGGGUUGUAAACCGCUUUCGCCUGUGACGAAGCGUGAGUGACGGUAAUGGGUAAAGAAGCACCGGCUAACUACGUG
rnacentral:rRNA from 1 species